GCUUGCUACGGCGGCACAUAUACUAAAAAAUUGGAUCGAUACAGAGAAGAUUAGCAUGGCCCCUGCGAAAGGAUGACACGCAAAUCCGUGAAGCGCUCCUUU
ensembl:snRNA U6 U6 spliceosomal RNA